UACGUAGGGUGCGAGCGUUAAUCGGAAUUACUGGGCGUAAAGCGUGCGCAGGCGGUUUUGUAAGCCAGAUGUGAAAUCCCCGGGCUUAACCUGGGAAUGGCAUUUGGGACUGCAAGGCUUGAGUGCGGCAGAGGAGACUGGAAUUCCUGGUGUAGCAGUGAAAUGCGUAGAUAUCAGGAGGAACACCGAUGGCGAAGGCAGGUCUCUGGGCUGACA
rnacentral:rRNA from 1 species